rnacentral:rRNA from 1 species
UACGUAGGUGGCAAGCGUUGUCCGGAAUUAUUGGGCGUAAAGCGCGCGCAGGUGGGAUCUUAAGUCCAUUUUGAAAGUUCGGAGCUCAACCCCGUGAUGGGAUGGAAACUGGGAUUCUUGAGUAUCGGAGAGGAAAGCGGAAUUCCCCGUGUAGCGGUGAAAUGCGUAGAUAUGGGGAGGAACACCAGUGGCGAAGGCGGCUUUCUGGACGAUGUCUGACACUGAGGCGCGGAAGCCAGGGGAGCGAACGGG